ACCAUCUUAGCCAGUGCCUGCGUCUGCAUUGCCAUUUGCCCACAAGCUACAUUCCACGCAGCUAGCGCAACUGCCCCGUCUCCAGAGCUGCUCAUAUCCUCUGCUUACCAUCAGGACUCCAAUGCGUGGGCAGGAAUAGAAAGAUUGGAACAUCACGAUAUUUCUAUUUUUCCGAAUCUUGUGUGCUGUCUUUUCGUACCAUUAGAAAGGCGAGCAUCUGAAUCUUUUCACAAGUUGAAGAUGGACACAUAAGCCCUAAACCACCUAGCCUUACCGAAUAUCUCCACUAGUAAGUUUUUUCUCAUAUUAGAAAUACUUAUCAGUGGAGGUAUUCUCUAAGGUUGCGGUGGUGUUGGAUUUUUAUACUGACACUUUGGACAUAUUGGUGGCCUUGAAUCAACCUCAGAGAAAUGUUAAUCAAUAGAAAAAAAAAGAUGAAUGCAAUAUGUAAUAGGUUCACCUUUUCAUCCAUAAUUAUGUCUGGAUUGAUGGAGUUUAUGUGGUUGUUAAUAUUUCCUAAUCCUUUAGAAAAACUUUUUCUGAUAAUAGUAGAUUUCAAUGCUUCAAUUUAAUGAACACAAAAUGCUAGCAAUAAAGUGAUCCGCUGCAAAAUGAGACAUAUUUACAAAUUUGGAUGGAAUAUCACUAGAUCAAGAUCUCAGAAACAUUGUUUCACUCCAAGGUUAGUUCAUAUGUGUACCCGCAAAAACAAGUUUGUUCAUAUGUGAACAAUGGUGUAUGUUAUAAUAAAUGUAGUUCUAUCUAGCCAAACUUGUAUUCGAAAAUACUUUCCUUGGUAUGUGCAUGAUCCGUGAAGAACAUAGAUGCAUGAAGCUAUCCUUGGGGGGUCCAGGGUCCAGAACAAUGGUGGAUGCCUACAAAGGAUACCUCCUCUCUCGGUUCAUAGGACUUGCGCGUAUCCCUAGAUGGUAAUUUGAACAUGAUAAUAUAAGAUAUAUAUUUCAAAACUUAUAUCAUUAGAAAGUUUAGACGUUCUACUUUUUAAUGAUAUAAUUUUUGUGGUGUACAAUUCAUAUUAUGUUGACCAAAUUAACAACCUAGAGAUAUGUGCAAGACUUAUAAAUUGGGACGGAGGUACUACAUUACAUGUGGUUGAUGCAAUUGACAGAUGGAGGGAUGAGUUCCGGAAAGCUCCGAUGGCGAAUGGAACAGUGCAUCUUUUGUCUGGAGUUUGGUGGAUCGGGUGAUAUUCGGUCGCGAGCACCCAUGUUUUUAUUCCGACCAUUUGGUUCCAGAGGGAGCGAUGCGAAGCUCUAUUCUGUGUUGACAUCUGGUGACUUUUUGGUCCAUGGUGAAGUCAGAAGAAGGAAUAUCAUGAAGGCUGGAUUGGUGGACUGGCUAAUGGAGGUUUGAGUCUCCGUGAUGCUGAGGGAUAUGCUUGGCGUUCUGGGCUCUGCAGCAGUGGUAUGCAUGUGGGGGCGGCAGCACAGGGGAAGUUUAGAGUCUUACAUCUCAGGGUGAAAACCCAAGGUCCGGCCCUAACAGGUUGUGU